rnacentral:rRNA from 1 species
GGGGAAUCUUCCGCAAUGGACGAAAGUCUGACGGAGCAACGCCGCGUGAGUGAUGACGGCCUUCGGGUUGUAAAGCUCUGUUAAUCGGGACGAAAGGCCUUCUUGCGAAUAGUGAGAAGGAUUGACGGUACCGGAAUAGAAAGCCACGGCUAACUACGUGCCAGCAGCCGCGGUAAUACGUAGGUGGCAAGCAUUGUCCGGAAUUAUUGGGCGUAAAGCGCGCGCAGGCGGAUCAGUCAGUCUGUCUUAAAAGUUCGGGGCUUAACCCCGUGAGGGGAUGGAAACUGCUGAUCUAGAGUAUCGGAGAGGAAAGUGGAAUUCCUAGUGUAGCGGUGAAAUGCGUAGAUAUUAGGAAGAACACCAGUGGCGAAGGCGACUUUCUGGACGAAAACUGACGCUGAGGCGCGAAAGCCAGGGGAGCGAACGGGAUUAGAUACCCCGGUAGUCCUGGCCGUAAACGAUGGGUACUAGGUGUAGGAGGUAUCGACCCCUUCUGUGCCGGAGUUAACGCAAUAAGUACCCCGCCUGGGGAGUACGACCGCAAGGUUG